rnacentral:rRNA from 1 species
GCCUAGCCCUAAAUCUUGGCACUUCCCCUACUAAAGUGCCCGCCCGAGAACUACGAGCACAAACGCUUAAAACUCUAAGGACUUGGCGGUGCCCCAAACCCACCUAGAGGAGCCUGUUCUAUAAUCGAUAACCCACGAUUCACCCGACCGCCCCUUGCCUAAAACAGCCUACAUACCGCCGUCGUCAGCCCACCUUCGUGAAAGAACAACAGUGAGCACAAUAGCCUCGCCCGCUAACAAGACAGGUCAAGGUAUAGCUCAUGGGGUGGAAGAAAUGGGCUACAUUUUCUGAAACAGAAAACAACGAAAGAGGACGUGAAACCGUCCCCAAAAGGCGGAUUUAGCAGUAAAGCGGGACAAUAGAGCCCCCUUUAAACCGGCCCUGAGGCACGU